ACUUCCCUUUCCCAUACUUCUCCCUUCCCCGUAACUUCUUGAAACAAUGAAACAAGGAAACCAAAAAUAACUCUUCAAAUUCUCUCUCCUUCCCAUGGUGAUUUGACUGAUUUCAAAAAAUUAGUCAAUUACAACCUUCAUCAACUACUCAACGGUUCAAUCUUCGACCUACAUUCCUUUUCUCGUUCCUUUGAGGCUUUGAAUCUCACUUUCUCUCUCUUCCGUUCAAUGCUCUCUACCAGGGUUUUGAAAUCGAAUUCUUCCCAGAAAAUUUGUCGAAGUUCGAUGGCAAGGCGGUGUAUUUCGAUGGAUUGGAACUCCGAGUAGAAACGAACAAGGUGGAAUUUGGUCAAUUAAGUAGGGUUUGUUGAAGAUUUGGGUUUAAUUUUAUUGAUUUGAUUGUUGUUCAUGUAUGUGGAAUUUGGUCAAUUAGGUAGGGUUUGUUGAAGAUUUGGGUUUAAUUUUAUUGAUUUGAUUGUUGUUCAUGUAUGUGGAAUUUGUUCAUUUUAAUUGAAAAUUGAAGCGUGUAGUAUGUAAAUUUUGAAUUAAUAUUGUUCAUCUUUAUUUUCCUA